AGGUCUAUCGCCAAGCGGUAAGGCAACGGGUUUUGAUCCCGUCAUCCCAUGGUUCGAAUCCAUGUAGACCUG
rnacentral:tRNA from 5 species